rnacentral:sRNA from 18 species
GUCAACGACCCCCGGCUAAAGCCGGAGGCUUCCAGCCUUGAGUUGACCAGACUCAGUAGUUAACAACUACUACGUUUAGGGGGAGUGUUAAAGUUCCUACCUUGCACGGGUACAUGAUACUAGCCUCAAGCUCUAGA